GGGUGAGUAAUGCCUGGGAAAUUGCCCAGUCGAGGGGGAUAACAGUUGGAAACGACUGCUAAUACCGCAUACGCCCUACGGGGGAAAGCAGGGGACCUUCGGGCCUUGCGCGAUUGGAUAUGCCCAGGUGGGAUUAGCUUGUUGGUGAGGUAAUGGCUCACCAAGGCGACCAUCCCUAGCUGGUCUGAGAGGAUGAUCAGCCCCACUGGAACUGAGACACGGUCCAGACUCCUACGGGAGGCAGCAGUGGGGAAUAUUGCACAAUGGGGGAAACCCUGAUGCAGCCAUGCCGCGUGUGUGAAGAAGGCCUUCGGGUUGUAAAGCACUUUCAGCGAGGAGGAAAGGUUGGUACCUAAUAACUGCCAACUGUGACGUUACUCGCAGAAGAAGCACCGGCUAACUCCGUGCCAGCAGCCGCGGUAAUACGGAGGGUGCAAGCGUUAAUCGGAAUUACUGGGCGUAAAGCGCACGCAGGCGGUUGGAUAAGUUAGAUGUGAAAGCCCCGGGCUCAACCUGGGAAUUGCAUUUAAAACUGUCCAGCUAGAGUCUUGUAGAGGGGGGUAGAAUUCCAGGUGUAGCGGUGAAAUGCGUAGAGAUCUGGAGGAAUACCGGUGGCGAAGGCGGCCCCCUGGACAAAGACUGACGCUCAG
rnacentral:rRNA from 1 species